rnacentral:rRNA from 1 species
UACGUAGGGUGCAGGCGUUACUCGGAAUUACUGGGCGUAAAGCGUGCGCAGGCGGUCUUUUAAGUCAGAUGUGAAAUCCCCGGGCUUAACCUGGGAACUGCGUUUGAAACUGGAAGGCUAGAGUGUGGCAGAGGGGGGUGGAAUUCCACGUGUAGCAGUGAAAUGCGUAGAUAUGUGGAGGAACACCGAUGGCGAAGGCAGCCCCCUGGGCUAACACUGACGCUCAUGCACGAAAGCGUGGGGAGCGAACAGG